rnacentral:rRNA from 1 species
CUCUCCCUCUUUCUUCCUGCUUAACACAUGCAAGUCGAGCGGGCACUUUCGGGUGUCAGCGGCGGACGGGUGAGUAACGCGUGGGAACGUGCCCUCUGGUUCGGAAUAACUCAGGGAAACUUGAGCUAAUACCGGAUACGCCCUUUUGGGGAAAGGCUUGCUGCCGGAGGAUCGGCCCGCGUCUGAUUAGCUAGUUGGUGAGGUAACGGCUCACCAAGGCGACGAUCAGUAGCUGGUCUGAGAGGAUGAUCAGCCACACUGGGACUGAGACACGGCCCAGACUCCUACGGGAGGCAGCAGUGGGGAAUAUUGGACAAUGGGCGCAAGCCUGAUCCAGCCAUGCCGCGUGAGUGAUGAAGGCCUUAGGGUUGUAAAGCUCUUUUAUCCGGGACGAUAAUGACGGUACCGGAGGAAUAAGCCCCGGCUAACUUCGUG